CGACACAAUUGGUUAACGUUCUUCAUAGAAUCCCACACCCUACCUUUUCAUUUAUUAACAUCCUGAUUUUCUUCUUCCCAAACACGCCUAAUCAAUAUUUUCCACUUUCCAAUGAAGCAUGCUUGCCGAUAUCCACAUCUAAUGAGGCGGCUAAGUUCAACGAUCCAAUCUUCUUCAUCAUCUAUAUUAAUUCAAACAGUCCUAAACCCUUACAUAUAUCAUUGCCCUCACUCAUCAAUAUUCCAACAUUUCUCAGCAACAUGUGUGCAGAGCCGAUUUUGUUGGUGGUGAUGGAUUCCAAAGUUAAUAGUUAUUUUAGGGUUCUUUGUGAUAUUUGUGUAUUUUAGGAUUCUUUGUGAUAUUUGUGUAUUUUAGGGUUCUUCUUCAGAUGAAACUAUCUAUAGCUCUGUGCCAUUCAAUUCAAUAUCCAAACACAUUAGAAUCUGAAAUGUGUAUGAUUCGGUGCUGAAAAUUGUUGGAUCUGCUUUUUUUGCAUCAGUUAAAGUUCAAUUCAUCGAGUUUUUAAUGUGAUUCUGUUUCUGAUUUUUGUGUGAUUUUGUUAUUGUUUUAGGUUUGAGUUCAGAGAGACUUUCAAGGUUAUCUUCCCAAUCGUUGAACCACCAUCGCCUCAGAUGAAACUAUCUACAGCAUCCUCUCAUACCUCUCCCCUAUCCUUAAUCAAGAUAGAUACAAGUCUUUGUAUUUAUCCGAUGAUAUUGUAGAAGAGGAUGAAGAGGAGUUCCUUUUACUAAGUAUCUCCUCUUCUGUUCCUUUUCAUCUUCUGCUAAGGAUUUAUCAAGAAGAAUGAUUUGCAGAGAUGCUUCCAGAAGAUUUUAUGCAGAACAAGGUACUGUUUCAUUUCACUCGGAAGCCGUUGUUGGUGGCGGUGGUGGAUUGCCAUCUUACAUACAUGGAGCUGUUUAUUGGGAACCUAUCAAACCUCUCACCAUUGAAGAGUUUCACAUCUCUCACAAAUGUUGUGUAUAGUAUGGGAGGACUUGCUUAAUAAUGUGUUGUGUGCAAAUGCACUGGCUAUAUUACCAAGCUCAAUGCCAUAUAGGAGUCUGCAAUUUUAGGAAACCUUGCUUUUACUGCUUAUCAUGCUAUGGCUCAUGCGGAGGAAAUGCGUUCAGGUGAUUAUGUUGCUGUUAUUGGUACUGGUGGAAUGUGCAGAUUAUAUUUCUUAAUAUAAUCCAAAAGUUAAAACAGUGUAAAGUAUUAUAAUUAAAAUUAUAACAAUAGUUGAAACCGUGUAAUCAAUUGUUACUAGCAUAUAACCCAAUUGAUAAAUUUACAAUUUCUAAAAAGUAGAUGAAGAGCUACCGCAUAUCACACGCAAAAUAAAUAUCACGUGGCAGAUUUCAAAUAUACAUUUAAAAUUAAUUUUUCUUACCUAAUCAAUUAAACAUGCUACAUGUUUGUAAUCAUUAUAUUAUUUAUUUUUACCAUUUUAUAAAUAAAAAAAAAAUAAAAAAAUAAAAAAAUUAAAUUGAAUAUGAAAGGAGAUUUGUUAAUUAGACAGUGAGCUCUGCAUAAUUUGGAACCACUGAAUUAUUUGAAUUUGGAACCAUUAUAUUAUUUAUUCUUAUAUUUUUGAAAUCUUUUUUAAUUAAAAAAAUAGAUAAAUGAUAAAUAUCUAAUAAAUGAAGAAUAAUUUGUUCCUUUUAUUAUUAUUAUAACAAUCCAUAAAACA